rnacentral:rRNA from 1 species
ACACUGGAACUGAGACACGGUCCAGACUCCUACGGGAGGCAGCAGUAGGGAAUCUUCCGCAAUGGGCGAAAGCCUGACGGAGCAACGCCGCGUGAGUGAUGAAGGUCUUCGGAUCGUAAAACUCUGUUAUUAGGGAAGAAUAUAUGUGUAAGUAACUGUGCACAUCUUGACGGUACCUAAUCAGAAAGCCACGGCUAACUACGUGCCAGCAGCCGCGGUAAUACGUAGGUGGCAAGCGUUAUCCGGAAUUAUUGGGCGUAAAGCGCGCGUAGGCGGUUUUU